rnacentral:rRNA from 1 species
AAUCAACGCUGGCGGCGUGCCUAACACAUGCAAGUCGAACGCGAAAGGGGCUUCGGCCCUGAGUAGAGUGGCGAACGGGUGAGUAACACGUGGGUGACCUACCCUCGAGUGGGGGAUAAC